CAUGGAUUGAGCCAUAUGGAAAAGGGUUUAUUCCAUCCAGGGUUGCUUCCCAGGCCAUCACACGAUCAAUUAAGCAACAGUAUUUGACUCCAUGGCCUACUUGUGGAGCAAUACCUAUAGACGACAGAAAGCCAUUCUGGGAGCGUUUUAAGAUGAAGGUGCAGUGGAAAGCUGAACAUGAAAGUCAAAUACAUAGAAAUUUUCACAUGAAAG